AAAGCCUUAAGUUAACUAAACUACUUGCCUUCAAAGCAAGCAAUGAAAUUUAAUUCAGGCUUUG
rnacentral:tRNA from 1 species